rnacentral:rRNA from 1 species
AGAGUUUGAUUAUGGCUCAGGAUGAACGCUAGCGACAGGCCUAACACAUGCAAGUCGAGGGGUAGCAUUGAAGUAGCAAUACUUUAGAUGACGACCGGCGCACGGGUGAGUAACGCGUAUGCAACCUACCUACUACAGGGGAAUAGCCCGAAGAAAUUCGGAUUAAUGCCGCAUAAUACAGGUGCACCGCAUGGUGAUAUUUGUUAAAGAUUAAUUGGUAGUAGAUGGGCAUGCGUUCCAUUAGCCAGUUGGUGAGGUAACGGCUCACCAAAGCAACGAUGGAUAGGGGAACUGAGAGGUUUAUCCCCCACACUGGUACUGAGACACGGACCAGACUCCUACGGGAGGCAGCAGUGAGGAAUAUUGGUCAAUGGGCGAGAGCCUGAACCAGCCAAGUCGCGUGAAGGAUGACUGCCCUAUGGGUUGUAAACUUCUUUUGUACUGGGGUAAAAAAGAGGACGUGUCCUUUCUUGCAAGUACAGUACGAAUAAGCAUCGGCUAACUCCGUGCCAGCAGCCGCGGUAAUACGGAGGAUGCGAGCGUUAUCCGGAUUUAUCGGGUUAAAAGGGUGCGUAGGCGGGGAUUAAAGUCAGCGGUGAAAGUUGGAGGUUCAACCUUAAAUUGGCCGUUGAAACUGGGUUUCUUGAGUGUAUUUGAAGUAGGCGGAAUUCGUUGUGUAGCGGUGAAAUGCAUAGAUAUAACGAAGACUCCAAUGCGCAGCAGCUUACUAACUACAACUGACGCUGAAGUACGAAAGCUGGGUAUCAACAGGAUUAGAUACCUGGUAGUCCACGCAUACGAUAUAUACUUUGGAAUCAUAGGGUAAGCGAAGCGAUGUAUCACUGGGAGACCCGGCAACGGGAACUCAAAUGAUGAC